rfam:Salmo salar isolate Sally breed double haploid chromosome ssa01, whole genome shotgun sequence.
GCCCCAGUGGCCUAAUGGAUAAGGCACUGGCCUCCUAAGCCAGGGAUUGUGGGUUCAAGUCCUAUCUGGGGUG